UAAAAUGUAAAAAAAAUAAUUUAAUUAGUAUUAGUUAUAUUCUUGAAAAUUAAAAAAUUUGGCGGUAUUUUAAUCUAUUUAGAGGAAUCUGUUUUAUAAUUGAUAUUCCACGAUAAAAUAUAUUUAUUUUAGAAAUUUAUAUAUCGUUGUUAAUAAAUAAUUUAAUAGAAUUUAUUUAUAAUUUUUUAUAAGAAUUUAAAUCAGAUCAAGGUGUAGUUUAUAAAUAAAUAAAAAUGGAUUACAAUAAGUUUAUUUAUAUGAAUAUUAAUUUGAAAUAGUUAAUUGAAAGUGGAUUUAAAAGUAAUUUUAUAAAAUUUAUUAGAAAUGAUUUUAGCUCUAAAAUAUGU
rnacentral:rRNA from 1 species